rnacentral:tRNA from 1 species
GGCUGCGUAGCUCAGUUGGUUAGAGCACAGCAUUCAUAAUGCUGAAGUCGUUGGUUCGAGUCCAACCGCAGCUACCA